UUUCGAGGGCCCGAAUGGAAUCCGGUUCCUAUUCCGGAACCCGGCAGCGGAACCACAUACCAUUCGGGCCCUCGUAAGAGUGUUCGUCGGGGUAACCCAAAAUGACUUGGAGACGCCGUCGGGAGAUCCGGGAAGAGUUUUCUUUUCUGUAUAAGCGUUCGAGUUCCCUGGAAACCUCUAGCAGGGAGAUAGGGUUUGGAACGCGAAGAGCACCGCAGUUGCGGCGGUGUCCGGAUCUUCCCCUCAGACCUUGAAAAUCCAGGAGAGGGCCACGUGGAGGUGUCGCGCCGGUUCGUACCCAUAUCCGCAGCAGGUCUCCAAGGUAAAGAGCCUCUAGUCGAUAGAUUAAUGUAGGUAAGGGAAGUCGGCAAAUUGGAUCCGUAACUUCGGAAUAAGGAUUGGC